rnacentral:rRNA from 1 species
UACGUAGGGUCCAAGCGUUGUCCGGAAUUACUGGGUAUAAAGGGUGCGCAGGCGGAUCUGUGCGUCAGAGGUUAAAGACCCGGGCUCAACCCGGGAAGUGCCUUUGAUACGGCAGGUCUUGAGUAUGAGAGAGGAUAGUAGAAUUCCUGGUGUAGCGGUGAAAUGCGUAGAUAUCAGGAGGAAUACCAGUGGCGAAGGCGGCUAUCUGGCUCAUAACUGACGCUUAGGCACGAAAGCGUGGGGAUCAAACAGG